AAACUUUCAACAACGGAUCUCUUGGUUCCGGCAUCGAUGAAGAACGCAGCGAAAUGCGAUACGUAAUGUGAAUUGCAAAUUCAGUGAAUCAUCGAGUCUUUGAACGCACAUUGCGCCCCCUGGUAUUCCGGGGGGCAUGCCUGUCCGAGCGUCAUUA
rnacentral:rRNA from 2 species